UAGGGAAUCUUCCGCAAUGGGCGAAAGCUUGACGGAGCAACGCCGCGUGAGUGAUGAAGGUCUUCGGAUCGUAAAACUCUGUUAUUAGGGAAGAACAAAUGUGUAAGUAACUAUGCCCGUCUUGACGGUACCUAAUCAGAAAGCCACGGCUAACUACGUGCCAGCAGCCGCGGUAAUACGUAGGUGGCAAGCGUUAUCCGGAAUUAUUGGGCGUAAAGCGCGCGUAGGCGGUUUUUUAAGUCUGAUGUGAAAGCCCACGGCUCAACCGUGGAGGGUCAUUGGAAACUGGAAAACUUGAGUGCAGAAGAGGAAAGUGGAAUUCCAUGUGUAGCGGUGAAAUGCGCAGAGAUAUGGAGGAACACCAGUGGCGAAGGCGACUUUCUGGUCUGUAACUGACGCUGAUGUGCGAAAGCGUGGGGAUCAAACAGG
rnacentral:rRNA from 1 species